GACGAACGCUGGCGGCGUGCUUAACACAUGCAAGUCGAACGGAAAGGCCCUGCUUUUGUGGGGUGCUCGAGUGGCGAACGGGUGAGUAACACGUGAGUAACCUGCCCUUGACUUUGGGAUAACUUCAGGAAACUGGGGCUAAUACCGGAUAGGAGCUCCUGCUGCAUGGUGGGGGUUGGAAAGUUUCGGCGGUUGGGGAUGGACUCGCGGCUUAUCAGCUUGUUGGUGGGGUAGUGGCUUACCAAGGCUUUGACGGGUAGCCGGCCUGAGAGGGUGACCGGCCACCUUGGGAAUGGGAUACGGCCCAGCCUCCUACGGGAAGCAGGCGGGGGGAAUAUUGGAAAAAGGGCGGAAGGCUGAAGCAACAACGCCGCCUGGGGGAUGGCGGCCUUCGGGUUGUAAACCGCUUUCGCCUGUGACGAAGCGUGAGUGACGGUAAGGGGUAAAGAAGCACCGGCUAACUACG
rnacentral:rRNA from 1 species